GUCCACGCCCUAAACGAUGUCAACUGGUUGUUGGGAAUUCACUUUCUCAGUAACGAAGCUAACGCGUGAAGUUGACCGCCUGGGGAGUAUGGCCGCAAGGUUGAAACUCAAAGGAAUUGACGGGGACCCGCACAAGCGGUGGAUGAUGUGGUUUAAUUCGAUGCAACGCGAAAACCUUACCCACCUUUGACAUGUACGGAAGAUUGCAGAGAUGCGAUUGUGCUCGAAAGAGAACCGUAACACAGGUGCUGCAUGGCUGUCGU
rnacentral:rRNA from 1 species